rnacentral:misc_RNA from 1 species
UAAUAAGUGUUUUAUGGCACUUCUUAAAUCCAUAUCCACCUUGUGUGCAAUGUCAGUCGAUCUUCUUCAUGGAGAUCGACCAAACAUCAACCUUUAUCUUUUAACUCUUUGUCUGAAAAAUAUUAUGAAUAAACAAUUCAAAAUA